rnacentral:ncRNA from 1 species
GGUUAAGCGACUAAGCGUACACGGUGGAUGCCCUGGCAGUCAGAGGCGAUGAAGGACGUGCUAAUCUGCGAAAAGCGCCGGUAAGGUGAUAUGAACCGUUAUAGCCGGCGAUGUCCGAAUGGGGAAACCCAGUGCAAUCCGUUGCACUAUCACAGCAUGAAUACAUAGUGCUGNNNNNNNNNNAAAAUCUCUGCAGGCUUGUAGCUCAGGUGGUUAGAGCGCACCCCUGAUAAGGGUGAGGUCGGUGGUUCAAGUCCACUCAGGCCUACCAAAUACUUCCUGAUACUGCGUUGCGGAACAACUCGCAUACUUCAGUAUGCUUCGUUAUUCCACGCCUUGUCUCAGAAAGCAUUACCGGUACAGAGAUUAGUGUAUACGAUGGGGUUAUAGCUCAGCUGGGAGAGCGCCUGCCUUGCACGCAGGAGGUCUGCGGUUCGAUCCCG